rnacentral:lncRNA from 1 species
CACAGCCAAUAUCAUACUGAAUGGGCAAAAACUGGAAGCAUUCCCUUUGAAAACUGGCACAAGACAGGGAUGCCCUGUCUCACCACUCCUAUUCAACACAGUGUUGGAAGUUCUGGCCAGGGCAAUUAGGCAGGAGAAGGAAAUAAAGAUUAUUCAAUUAGGAAAAGAGGAAGUCAAAUUGUCCCUGUUUGCAGACGACAUGAUUGUAUAUCUAGAAAACCCCACUGUCUCAGCCCCAAAUCUCCUUAAGCUGAUAAGCAACUUCAGCAAAGUCUCAGGACACAAAAUCAAUGUACAAAAAUCACAAGCAUUCUUAUACACCAAUAACAAACAGAGAGCCAAAUCAUGAGUGAACUCCCAUUCACAAUUGCUUCAAAGAGAAUAAAAUACUUAGGAAUCCAACUUACAAGGGAUGUGAAGGACCUCUUCAAGGAGAACUACAAACCACUGCUCAAUGAAAUAAAAGAGGAUACAAACAAAUGGAAGAACACUCCAUGCUCAUGGGUAGGAAGAAUCAAUAUAGUGAAAAUGGCCAUACUGCCCAAGGUAAUUUAUAGAUUCAAUGCCAUCCCCAUCAAGCUACCAAUGACUUCCUUCACAGAAUUGGAAAAAACUACUUUAAAGUUCAUAUGGAACCAAAAAAGAGCCCGCAUCACCAAGUCAAUCCUAAGCCAAAAGAACAAAGCUGGAGGCAUCACGCUACCUGACUUCAAACUAUACUACAAGGCUACAGUAACCAAAACAGCAUGGUACUGGUACCAAAAUAGAGAUAGAUAUAGAUCAAUGGAACAGAACAGAGCCCUCAGAAAUAAUGCCGCAUAUCUACAACUAUCUAUCUGAUCUUUGACAAACCUCAGAAAAACAAGCAAUGGGGAAAGGAUUCCCUAUUUAAUAAAUGGUGCUGGGAAAACUGGCUAGCCAUAUGUAGAAAGCUGAAACUGGAUCCCUUCCUUACACCUUAUACAAAAAUCAAUUCAAGAUGGAUUAAAGACUUAAAUGUUAGACCUAAAACCAUAAAAACCCUAGAAGAAAACCUAGGCAUUACCAUUCAGGACAUAGGCAUGGGCAAGGACUUCAUGUCUAAAACACCAAAAGCAAUGGCUACAAAAGCCAAAAUUGACAAAUGGGAUCUAAUUAAACUAAAGAGCUUCUGCACAGCAAAAGAAACUACCAUCAGAGUGAACAGGCAACCUACAAAAUGGGAGAAAAUUUUCGCAAGCUACUCAUCUGACAAAGGGCUAAUAUCCAGAAUCUACAAUGAACUCCAACAAAUUUACAAGAAAAAAACAAACAACCCCAUCAAAAAGUGGGCGAAGGACAUGAACAGACACUUCUCAAAAGAAGACAUUUAUGCAGCCAAAAAACACAUGAAAAAAUGCUCACCAUCACUGGCCAUCAGAGAAAUGCAAAUCAAAACCACAAUGAGAUAUCAUCUCACCCCAGUUAGAAUGGCAAUCAUUAAAAAGUCAGGAAACAACAGGUGCUGCAGAGGAUGUGGAGAAAUAGGAACACUUUUACACUGUUGGGGGGACUGUAAACUAGUUCAACCAUUGUGGAAGUCAGUGUGGCGAUUCCUCAGGGAUCUAGAACUAGAAAUACCAUUUGACCCAGCCAUCCCAUUACUGGGUAUAUACCCAAAGGACUAUAAAUCAUGCUGCUAUAAAGACACAUGCACACGUAUGUUUAUUGCAGCACUAUUCACAAUAGGAAAGACUUGGAACCAACCCAAAUGUCCAACAAUGAUAGACUGGAUUAAGAAAAUGUGGCACAUAUACACCAUGGAAUACUAUGUAGCCAUAAAAAAGGAUGAGUUCAUGUCCUUUGUAGGGACAUGGAUGAAAUUGGAAAUCAUCAUUCUCAGUAAACUAUCGCAAGAACAAAAACCAAACACCGCAUAUUCUCACUCAUAGGUGGGAAUUGAACAAUGAGAACACAUGGACACAGGAAGGGGAACAUCACACUCUGGGGACUGUUGUGGGGUGGGGGGAGCGGGGAAGGAUAGCAUUGGGAGAUAUACCCAAUGCUAGAUGACGAGUUAGUGGGUGCCGCGCACCAGCAUGUCACAUGUAUACAUAUGUAACUAACCUGCACAUUGUGCACAUGUAUCCUAAAACUUAAAGUAUAAAAAAAAAAAGUAACAUCAUUUUCUCAAAUUAAAUAUUUAAAAAGAAAAAAGAUAAAAUGAAACCACAACACUGAAGGAAAAAGGUCUGUUCCUGGUUUCUUGUCAGUAGACAUUUUUUUCUCCCAUAAAUUCCCAUCACCUCUAAAGCUGGGCUACACAGCACUGAGCACUUACUAUUGACAAUAGCUGUGGGCAAAAUAGAAGCCAUGGCAGCUUGCUGAGGAAGCAGCUGAAUUGAGUCCAGCAGGCGUGCAGGGUACAUCCCUUCUGUGAGAGUCAUCUGACUGGCAGCUUGUAGCCUUGAGUCAAAAUCCACCACAAAGGCAAUUAGCUCUUCACCCUCAGAGAUGGCCUUCGUAGUUGUACACCAAAGCUGACCCCCUAUUAAGAAGAAAAAAGAAAAAGAUAAAAUUGACAUAGGAUGCUUGAGUCUGUUGUAAACUAGAUUGAUGUCCAUAGCACCUUCUCAUGUUUUUCACACUGGUUUCUACUGGAGUGGAGUGUUUGAUCAAGGCAACAGCUGUGUUCCUCUUGCUUCCUGUGUGGAAAAUUGUACUCCUUGCAUUAAAUGAACGAUUUAGUGACCAGAAGUAGGAGGAGACUAAGAAUCAAGUACAGUAUAAACAUAAUUUGUAGAGAUUUUUGUCAAUUGUUUGCUUUCUGGGGCUUGCCUGAAUCAGUAACCUUACCAGUAGAUUGAGACAGUACCUAAAAACCAGCAUAGUAGAGACCCAACUGCUGAAAUUUAUUUCAUAUGAGCAUUUGGAGUUAUUCUUUCUAUAUUUUAUGAAAGUAAAAAGUUAUUUAUCUCUCUCCUUCUUUUCCCCCCAUGAAAUACUUCCAUCCUAUCAAUACCAAUGCCCAAACUACAGAACAAGUAAACAAAAACUCCUAAAAUCUAGAAAAUUAAAAUGAAAUUCAGGUAGUUGUACUCUGCUAUGUCUGCUACCAUUUUCUGGCUGAAUAAUCUUUACUUAUAUAAUAUUCCGUAUAAUGUAGCUUCUUCAUCUCCAUUUACCCUGAUUGAACUUCCUGAAAUGAAGAUAUGCCAAAAAUCCUUUUCAAAAAGGCUCAUUUAAAUAAAGAUUUGUUUAGAUGAAAAGAAAUGUCUCUUCAAACACUGAGAUAUACUCUGGCACUGCAUGUCAACGAUCACAUGUUGUGCAUUAAAAAGAAAAAUUAACUAUGCAAGUACAUCUAAUGUAUUGGAAUGUGAUAGCGAAUGCUCGUUUAUUUAACAUGUUUAGACAGGCAAAGCACUUAUAUUUUGUUAUCUACACUCUCAGGCCUAGAUAUGUAUCCUAUACAGUUAUGCCUGAAAUAAUGCAGCAUACUUGAUAUGUUAUAAAGCUCUUUUUUUUUUCAUUGUGUAUAGAUUGGAAGGCUGUGUAUUGCACUCAUUAAGCAGCCAAAACUUGUACCCACUUUGAUAAGUCAUAUUGCUCUGUUUAUCUUUCAACAUAACUGUCUUUUCAACUGCACUUCAUUUUUUCCACCCUUAGAGCUCAUGGUUUUUAAACAACUUGUGGUAAAAAUCUGGUGGAAAAGAUAACAACAGUAUAUGAUAUGGCAGAGUUGCACAGAAGAAUCAGAACAUUGUUUUAGAGAAACGUUGGGCAAUUAAUUAAGCCAGCUGAUUAAGUUUUAAAGAAGCUAAACCAUAUCAUGUCGAAAUCAGAGGAGCGAUGAAAGUGUGAGUGGUGGUAUUUCUGCUGUUCUCCCCCCUGAAGGCUUCUGCGAUUAGCUUCUAUGCCUUCCUUCCCUUAUGGGCAUUCAGAUCCAAACUACUUGCAACUGUAGACAAGGAGGAAGAUGGAACUUGGAGAAGACAUACAGGCUGAAGAAAAAAAAAUAUUUUGGAAGUGAUCAGCACAUUCUAAUUGACCAUGGAUGCUCUCUGCAUUCAUGUGGUAACCCAGGGAGAGUAUGGAGUGAAAAGAGGAUCACCAAAGAAACUUGGGGUAUCUCAACAUUUAGGAAGUGUGCAGAGAAGAUGAGAUCAUUAAAAUGUACCAAGAGGUUAUAUUUAAAUGUUAGAGGGAAAUCAAAAGAAUGGCACCACAAAAAUCAAGGGUUGGACUUCUUUAUAAUUGUUUGGCUGAGUUUUUAGAUGGUGAACUUAGAACGUACAACUUGAGGGAGUCAUUUAUAGGAAGUGAUAACCCAAAUAUUGUAACGUAACUUCAAUUACUGAUGCUAAUAAAAUUUUCAGAGUGUGAUCACUCUUGGC